ACAGAGGAAUCUGUGUGCAGGCAGAGUCAAAGCAAUUGAAACAAGUUUGCACUAAUGACUUUGGGGAGCAGAGUUCCCCGAGAACGGAAAAGGAGGACCUUCUGCCAGGGUGACCUCUAAUUUGCAAUUGAAAUGACCAUUGGGCACGUAAAUAGACACCUGGGUGGGAGGGACUGGGGAAUGUGGGAGGUACUUAGUGAAUUUCUUUAACUGGGACUUUGGCUGGAGAAGAUUUCUUUUCCUCUGCUUCUUGAAAAGCUCGGCAGUGACAGAUGGUUGUUGUUUUCUCACUGGUUUCUGUUCCCAGAGGAAUAAACUCUUGGACUCCCUGUGAGGCAUUCCCGCAGAGUCCCAC
rnacentral:lncRNA from 1 species